rnacentral:rRNA from 1 species
UACGUAGGGAGCAAGCGUUGUCCGGAAUCAUUGGGCGUAAAGCGCGCGUAGGCGGCUCGAUCAGUCUGUUGUGAAAGUCAAAGGCUCAACCUUUGAAUGCCGAUGGAUACUGUCGAGCUAGAGUCCGGAAGAGGCAAGCGGAAUUCCGGGUGUAGCGGUGGAAUGCGUAGAGAUCCGGAAGAACACCGGAGGCGAAGGCGGCUUGCUGGGCUCGGUCUGACGCUGAGGCGCGAAAGCGUGGGGAGCGAACAGG